rnacentral:rRNA from 1 species
AACGAACGCUGGCGGCAUGCCUAACACAUGCAAGUCGAACGAGACCUUCGGGUCUAGUGGCGCACGGGUGCGUAACGCGUGGGAACCUGCCCUUAUGUUCGGAAUAACUCCCCGAAAGGGGUGCUAAUACCGGAUAAUGUCUUCGGACCAAAGAUUUAUCGCCUUUGGAUGGGCCCGCGUUGGAUUAGCUAGUUGGUAGGGUAAAGGCCUACCAAGGCGACGAUCCAUAGCUGGUCUGAGAGGAUGAUCAGCCACACUGGGACUGAGACACGGCCCAGACGCCUACGGGAGGGAGCAGUAGGGAAUAUUCCGCAGUGGGCGAAAGCCUGACGGAGCGACGCAGCGUGAGCGAAGAAGGCCUUAGGGUCGUAAAGCUCUGUAGGGAGGGACGAAGGAGCGCCGUUUGAAGAAGGCGGCGCGGUGACGGUACCUAACGAGGAAGCCCCGGCUAACUACGUG